CUCGUAGGCGGCCAACUAAGUCAUACGUGAAAUCCCUCAGCUUAACUGGGGAACUGCGUGUGAUACUGGAUGGCUUGGAUUUGGGAGAGGGAUGCGGAAUUCCAGGUGUAGCGGUGAAAUGCGUAGAUAUCUGGAGGAACACCGGUGGCGAAGGCGGCAUCCUGGACCAAUAUUGACGCUGAGGAGCGAAAGCCAGGGGAACGACGAAACG
rnacentral:rRNA from 1 species